UACGUAGGGUGCGAGCGUUAAUCGGAAUUACUGGGCGUAAAGCGUGCGCAGGCGGUUCGUUGUGUCGGCGGUGAAAGCCCCGGGCUCAACCUGGGAAUGGCCGUUGAAACUGGCGAACUGGAGUGUGGCAGAGGGGGGUGGAAUUCCGCGUGUAGCAGUGAAAUGCGUAGAGAUGCGGAGGAACACCGAUGGCGAAGGCAGCCCCCCUGGGCUGACACUGACGCUCAGGCACGAAAGCGUGGGGAGCAAAUAGG
rnacentral:rRNA from 1 species